UUUAAUGUUAAAUUAUUAAAAAAUGAUUUUUUAUUUCUAAAACAUUAUUUUUUAAAUUGUUAGCAAAUUUUAACGGAGAAGGACGAAAAGUCAUUCUUUGCUAACGGGGCGAAUCCUUAGGGUACUACUUUGUUACAAAGUAAACCUUAGACCCUGAAAUGAAAGUAAGUGAAACCACAAGAUACUUUUUUAUAAUUUCCCCUAAAAAA
rnacentral:misc_RNA from 1 species